rnacentral:telomerase_RNA from 1 species
CCUUACGCACCCGGCAGGCCCUUUUCUCGCUCAGUUGUCACGUCAAGGUUGUCUGACAGAGUGUCAUAACCUCGCAACCCUAAACUAGAGUUGCACUGGCCAGUCACUGGCAGCACAGGCUGGGAGGGGGUCUUGAGCGCGCGGCUUCCCCCUGAAAAAAGAAGCCGGCAAGCAGCUGAGGGGGUCAGGGGCACCCCGCAUGGUGUGGGGGGUCCUGCCGAGGGCGGGCGGGCCAGCCACGUGCCGGCGGUCAGCUGGCGCGUGCAAAUGGUGCGGCCAUGCGGCCCGCCAAGGACCGGGCAGGGCUGAGGCUGCCUGGGUGCUGCAUAUUGC